CUGGCUACGUAGCUCAGUUGGUUAGAGCACAUCACUCAUAAUGAUGGGGUGGCAUUCCCUGGUUCGAAUCCAGGUACCCCAGCCA
rnacentral:tRNA from 1 species